AUCAGGUUAAGGGGAGGCUAAGAAAGUCGCAUAACAAUCAAUCAAACUAAUAUUCAAGGGUAGUAUGUAAGAGAGAGUGGAAUAGAUGAAAUUGUAACCCCCAACAACAUCCAUUCAUCCAUUGUUUUCGUCUGUCAAUUGAAUCAACUUUAUUUUUAUGUGUUAAUAUUUUUAUCCUCAAAUCCAAUUUAUUAUUUUUUAUUUUUCAAGUCUUAUUAUUUUAAUUCACGCGAACGGGGAAGCCNUACGAGUCUCUUGGGAAAACGAUACUUGGUCUUACCACUUAUAUUACUUGUAC
rnacentral:lncRNA from 1 species